rnacentral:lncRNA from 1 species
UCUGUGUUCUCACUGGACAAGUGCUGACUCUCUUUCUCCUUUUAUGCGUGGUUGUUACCCAGGAAAGACCAUCCUACUAGGAGAUCUGUGCAUUCAGAAGCCCAUGCAAGCAGAUGGAAACAGCAGCUGCCAAGCACACUACACCUCCCAGCCUGCAAUAACAAUCACACAUCACCUCACCUCUGGCCCACACCUUCUUACAAGGGAAAGCAAAUGUUGUAGAGAAGGGACAUGGAAAAGGUCUGUACACAGUUCUGACUGGGUGCCAGGGUUGGGACGUGCUCCAGGUACCAUGUUCCUUGCUGCAACCAUCAGCCAUUCAGUCUUUACUUCAUCUGAGCAGGACAGCACACCCUCCCUGUCUUUUUCUGCCUUUCAUCCAUUGUUCCCAGUUCAACAUCAGGACCAUCUCAGGAUCACAGCCCCUGAGAGCUGAAGACUUGAUCAUGAGAUGCAACUGUGUUCUGCUUAGGUAGUUCUUCCCACAGAACAAGGAAGAAAGAAAAACAACAAGGAAGAAGGAUAAGGGUGCCCUUAUGGUGCAGGAUUAUCUGCUCUAUAAUCUAUCUUCCUAGCUUCCUUUUCCUUCAUGAGCUUUGCACUCAUAACUAGGGCAGUUUUGACAUGCCUACCUCUUGCAAUCCAUCAGCCAACCACUGAGCCGAGGAGUGUCUACCAUGUUACUAAUCCCCAGUAAUUACCAGGGGACCAGUCACAGAGUGAACCCUGAGGUUGACUCAGUUUGAUUUACUUCAUUGCUCUCUUCAGCCCAGAUGUUCAGAGAUGCACAGGUUUUUGUGCCAAAGAAUAGCCCAUUUGCAACGAGCGGCCAUUAGGUGCUAAUAUCCCUUUGCCACAGGUUUGGCAAUGUGAGCCAUGCUUACACAGGAACUGCAGCUGCAGGAUAUGAACAUCUGAAAGCACUGUUAGAACAUAAGAAAAAGAAAACAGCUCAGACACAUGACCUCAGGGCCAACAUUUUAUUAAAAAUAUAUAUUAAUGCUGCUCCCUCUGAUAAAGAACUUAUUUAGGCCUUGCUUAAAUUGAAACCUAACCUAUUGCUUAGAACUACUGUAUCUUCCUACCCAGGGGUUUAUUUUGUCACUGGGCCAAAUACAAAGUCAUGUAGUUAGAAGUCUUUGGCACCUGCCUGCACAUUUGCAUCUGGGAAGAAAAUAUUUUUGUCCUUUCUCUCCCUUUCUCUGCAUGCAGUUGGUUUGUAGAGCCAAAGCUACCCCUAGGGCUCACUUCUCAUAUUUGCUCUCAGAACAAAUUGAUUUCCAAGCCACCAAGUGUUGGGAUGGCUGUGGGGAUUGGAAUCUGGUUGGCCGUUUUUGAUGAUAGUCUGUGAAAUUCAAGUGUGACAAAGCAUUCAGGGGGAUGCUUGAUUAUAUUACAAGGUGUGAGGAACUUGGAACCAUAAUAUGGGGACUGCUGUAGAGAAGAUUAUUGUGCCUCACAUUUUCCAGCGUGGUGAGCUUAUAAAACAUAAGUUUUCUUUAUUUUAUACCAUUUUUAUGUUAUAAUUAUGUUUUACCUCGCACUUACAAACUACUAAGACUUUUUAUUCAUUUAAAACCUUGCUGAAUUGGAAAGUUUGAGGCAUGUGUGUUUCACAGCGAUGACAGUUUGAUGCAUUGGUUUUUAUUUGGUUUUAUUUCUGGGGGGUUGAUCAAAUGCCCUUGUCAAAAUUCCUUAAGAACAUCUCGCCCGUAUCCAAGUUUUUAUACUCAAAGUCUUAUUCAAGACCUUAAAACUGACUUUAACUCAUUCAUAAAAAGGUUGUGUUGGCCUUUAUAAGGAGUGGAUUUAACCAAGCUUUGUAACAGUAAUAAUAAACAAUUUUUAAUGACAUCA